rnacentral:rRNA from 1 species
CCUUAUUUGCCGCCCAUAAUUUAUUAUGCAGUUCCUUUAAUUUCGUUACUGCCUUGCUAAACAAGGUUUUCAACCGGAAGGCCGCCAUCCUUAACCCGGCGUGCAUUGCCUUAGGAUUUCAUCCCAUUGUGCAAUAUUCCCCAAUCGCUGGCAUCCCGGU